rnacentral:misc_RNA from 1 species
AAGUCGUAACAAGGUAACCGUAGGUGAACCUGCGGUUGGAUCAUUAAUAAAUUUUAUUAGACUUUUUUUUCUUCCCUUUUUCGGGGGGGGAGAGAAAAAUUUCUUUAACAAUUUUUGUGAACUGUUUAUUGUCUCUCGGUGUGGUAACGGAUUUUAGUUAAUCUUAAGGGUGGAUUUUUUUUCCAUCCAGCCCACCUUUUUUUUUUAAACUUGAUGUUAUUAUUUUUUUAAAGUCUUGAAUUUUUGAAUUAUUAAAAUUUAAAAACAACUUUUAACAACGGAUCUCUAGGCUCUUA